UUUUCUUUUUUUUAAGUACACAGCUAGAGCCCAGCAGAUUUAAAGUGCCAUCUAGAAGCUGCAUAUACAUUUCAGAUGAAAAUUAAGCCCCAAGAGUGACCGUGGAAGAAUGAAAAAGAUAAUUACUAAGUGGAAUUCUGACAGAGGCUGGUAGAUAUGUAAUGGGGAAAGUUCUAAUCCCUUCAGAAUAAAUGGCAUCAUGUCAUCCUGGUAACUCCUUGGAAACUACAAAUCUUCUCUGUAGCAGCCAGGCCUCAAGUGAUUCUGACAGGUUUAGAUCUCUAUUCUAUAUCUCACGGCGACUGUAUGGACUUGAAGAGGAUAUACAAUCAAAACACAGAGAUCAUUUCCCAAGAAAUUCUGAAUAGCAGAAUAGCCAGAGGACUUAACUGGAAGAGUCCUGGGUUCAAGGAUUGGCUCUGUCAACACUCAGGUAUGUCAUAUUGGUAAAAAAAUACUAACUGGCCAUUCUCACAGGCUUGUUAAAAUAUCUGAAACGAUUUCAAAUUAUCAAUUACUAUACUUCCUUAAACUGACAAUGACACAUUUUAUUUACUGACUUGAGAGGCUGCUCUUUACAAUCUUGUUGCCAUGAGUCUAUUCUUGUGUCCAAUAUCUGAAGAACUAAUGAAAGCAGUGCAGGAUUAUUAUGUUUCUUCCUUUGUGAGACAGUAAACCAUCAACUAUAUUAGCACGUUUAUCUAUCCCGCACAUUCAUCUAAAGUAUGGUCCAUAUUUUUCCAUACCAUUUUUAAAGUCAUCCACCAGCUCAUUAGACAGAAGAUACACCCUCAAACAUAAGUAAUUUAAUUAAUUUACCAUUUUCUUAGCAACUCGCCACUUGUCAUCUUCAAGGCUGUGGUAUUGGAUGAGAGUGUUUUUAAGUCUAGUCGCCAAAACAGCUGCAUCAGGCAGGUCUUCCAUUUGUUUUCCCUGUUACAGAGACUAAGAUUAUCAUCAGCAAAUACCAGAGUUAGAUGCAGUUGGGUCUCAAAUAUGGCUUCAUAAAAGAAUCACCUUGUCCUUUGCCCAUCUUUUGUAUACCUGGACCCCAUCCCAAAUCAACUAAUCAGGAUCCCUGAGGGUAAGACCUGGCCAUAGGUUUUUUUUCUAAAAGCUUCCAAGGUGUGAAACACAUAGGGAUAAGAAUCACAUAUGUUGAGUUAUUAAAAUCACUCAUAUAAAAAAUAAAAUACAAUCCUAUUUCCCUUUCUAAUAGAAUCUAACCCAAAGGAAUAAAUUAUAAAAUUCCAGAUAACUUAAAAGAAAAAAAAUACUGCUUUUUCAAAAAUACAAAAAUAACACACAAGGCAUAAACUCUUUAAAAAUUCCUUAGAGAUUCAGCCAUUGAAAAUUUUCAUUUUACCAGCCAACAGAUAUAGGAUUCAUUCUAGCAAACAAAUGACAACCACAAUUGGAAACCUCCUCUUACAUCCUUUAAGGAUAGGGCUAGAGACCUCUGAAGAAUUUCAAAAGUUUGAAGAACUCUAUUGUCUUCAAUGUUUUAUUUCAUUUGAUGAAGUGUCAUAGGAUUCAGUGAGCUAUCUGUGUAACAUAGGAGGUGAUAUGAAGACCUUAGAACCACCAGUACAGCAUAAAUAAGUGGUUUAUAAUUUUAAGGCAAUAAUUUUAACUAUACAGAGAGGAAAGUACUAUAUCAUUAAUAAUUCCAAAGGUAUGUUAUUGUUCAACAAUACUUUAAAAGGGAAAUGAUUACUAAUCUUUAAAGAUAAUAAACUUAAUAUAAUGAGGGAUUCUAUAAUGUGAUCAUUUUAAAACAUUGCUGCAAAUCCUGUGACACACUUCCCAUCAAGAGGGAUUGACAUAUAUACACUACUAUGUAUAAAAUAGAUAACUAACGAACACCGACUGUAUAGCACAGGGAACUCUACUCAGUGCUCUGUGGUGACCUAAAUGGGAAGGAAAUCCAAGGAAGAGGGGAUAUAUGUCUAUGUAUAGCUGAUUCACUUUGCUGUACAGCAGAAACUAACACAACAUUGUAAAGCAACUAUACUCCAAUAAAAAUAAAUAAAGUGAAAAAAAUGAAUAAAAAGCAACAAAGCAUUUACAAUGAAAAAAAAAAGAGGUGCAGUCUGUGACGCUGCAUGACCUCUGCAGCUAGGUUAGAAAAUUCCAUGCAGCCUCUGUACGUCACUCUUAGAAUAAUCGCUCUGGGAGCCUUUGAUCAACAUGUAAGCAUACAAGAAAUCUGGUUAUCCUGAAGCUGAUAUGUGGAAAGGCCCAGGUGGAAAGAAGAGGAAGGGAGGGAAAAAAGGAGAGGGAAAGACAGAGACAGACAGACAGACGCACACACACACAGAUCCAAAAUCCCACAUCCAGAAGCCUAUAUUUAGGGCUUCACACCUAUUGGGCAUCUCUUGCUGCCCCAGUCUUCCUUCAAUUUGCCUCAAUCUUCCUCAUCUUAAUAAUUUUACUAUUAAAAUGAUAAUUGAGCCAGUUGCUCGAUGUCAGAAACCUUGGAAUCACCCUUAAUAGGUAUUAGGAGAUUCAUCACAUACCAUUGCCUACAAUGCUCUUCUCCUACUGGUUUUCUUUCUGUCCCUUAAAUACAUCAAGCUUGUCACUGACUUCGGGCCUUUGUAUUUACUAUUAUUUCUCUACCUGGAUUAGUAGAUCCCAAAUCUGAGCAUGACUAAUAACAACCUGUAAUAAUAAUUUCAGAUUAAACCUCCUGUCCUUAAUACAACCUUCCCCAAAUCACUAUUAUACCCUUCUUUUAUUUUCUUCAUAGUGCAUCACUAUGUGAAAUUAACUUGUUUAUUUAUUGAUGUACUAUAUUCUACUCUUUGACUACCAUGUCCCCAACUAAUAGAGUGGCUGUCCCAUGUCUGCCUUUUUCACUACUAUAUCCCCACCAACUAGAACACUACCUGGAACACAGUAGGACCUUAAUAUUUGUUGAAGUGUGUUUGCUUCAAAACAUGAUUUAUUUGGUCUUAACUUCUCUCCUUUUGGUGCCAUGGUACUCUCCAGUAAAAGGCUAAAGAAGAAAAGGCUUUGGAAGAAAGCUGUCCAUUUACAGGAUCAUGAAGUUACUACUAAAAAGGAGAUCAAGAAAAGAUCUAAAUGAAAUAUCAAGGCUCAAACCUCUAUGGGAAUAAGGAUGAAAUUCUCACUACAAAUGCAUACAUCAGAAUCAUGUUGUUAUAAUUUGUAAUAGCUGUUAAUGUUGACAAAGAAUCUCUCCUUGGUUGGGCUCCUCUGAGUCCUCUUUUUUUUUUUUGGCUGCAUCAGGUCUUAGUUGCGGCAUGCAGAAUCUUCAGUAGUGGUGCGGGCUCUUCAUUGCGGCAUGUGGGCUUCUCUCUACUUGGGGUGCGCAGGCUCCAGAGCACACAGGCUCAGUAGUUGCAGCACGCAGUCUCUCUAGUUGUGAGGCACGGGCUCUAGAGCACAUGGGCUUAGUUGCCUCAUGGCACGUGGGAUCUUAGUUCCCCGACCAGAGAUCAAACCCACGUCCCUUGCAUUGGAAGGCAGAUUCUUAACCACUGGACCACCAGGGAAGUCUCCUCUGAGUCCUCUUUGUGACGAGGCCUAGCUCUUGGGCUUGUCCUUGGACCCCUUAGUCUAGUUUUAGCAAGAAUCCUGCUGAGUCAGUUUAGUGAAAAUCCCCUACCCUCAAAUUUCCUUAUCCCACCCUCAAUCUUAUCCGCCGGCCUGCCUUCAGCAAGAAUCCUGUCAAGUUGGUUUAAGGCGAAUCCCCCUUCCUCUAAUGUUUCCUCCUAGUAAUUUUCAUUCACUGACACCCACCCCGCUUCUUGGCUAUACACCCCUACGUGCCCUUGUUGUAUUCAGAAUGAAGCCUAGUUCUAUACCAAGGUUUCUUUUGCACUAUUGCAAUAGUUAUUGAAUAAGAUUUGCCUUUACCACUUUCAUGUGUGUCUGCCUCUGGUUUUCUGUGACACCGUUUUUGGAUAUUAGAUUUCAUGGUCCACAGCCAGAUAGUCCGAUUCAGUGGGUCUGCUCUAGAAUAGGCCCCAGAUCUAGGUCCUAUAAAAAGCCUCACUGAUCAUUCUUUUAACCAGUCGGGAGUGACAGCCACUAAUCUAAAAUCUAAAGUGACAAACAAAGUCAGUGCUAUAGUCAAUAUUUAACCAGCACAAAGUAGAACAUAAAAGCCAUGAAACAUGAUAAACACUAAAAUGAUAUAAGGGGAUUCAAGAUGGCGGAAGAGUAAGACGCGGAGAUCACCUUCCUCCCCACAGAUAUCCCAAAAAUACAUCUACACGUGGAACAACUCCUACAGAACACCUACUGAACGCUGGCAGAAGACCUCAGACUUCCCUAAAGGCAAGUAACUCCCCACGUACCUGGGUAGGGGAAAAGAAAAAAGAAUAAACAGAAACAAAAGGAUAGGGACGGAACCUGCACCAGUGGGAGGGAGCUGUGGAAGAAAGGUUUCCACACGCUAGGAAGCCCCUUCACAGGCGGAGACUGCGGGUGGCAGAGGCGGAAAGCUUCGGAGCCGCGGAGGAGAGCACAGCAACAGGGGUGUGGGGGGCAAAGCGGAGAGAUUCCCACACAGAGGAUCGGUGCCGACUGGCACUCACCAGCCCGAGAGGCUUGUCUGCUCACCCGCCGGGGCGGGCGGGGCUGGGAGCUGAGGCUCGGGCUUAGGUCCGGAUCCCAGGGAGAGGACUGGGCUUGGCGGCGUGAACACAGCCUGAAGGGGGCUAGUGCGCCACAGCUAGCAGGCAGGGAGUCCGGGAAAAACUCUGGACCUGCCUAAGAGGCAAGAGACUUUUUCUU